AGGACGAACGCUGGCGGCGUGCUUAACACAUGCAAGUCGAGCGGAAAGGCCUUUCGGGGUACUCGAGCGGCGAACGGGUGAGUAACACGUGAGUAAUCUGCCCAUCGCUUCAGGAUAGCCAUCGGAAACGGUGAUUAAUACUGGAUAUGACAUUCCUUCGCAUGUUGGGGUGUGGAAAGUUUUUUCGGCGGUGGAUGUGCUCGCGGCCUAUCAGCUUGUUGGUGGGGUAAUGGCCUACCAAGGCUUUGACGGGUAGCCGGCCUGAGAGGGUGACCGGCCACGACUGGGACUGAGACACGGCCCAGACUCCUACGGGAGCAGCAGUGGGGAUAUUGGACAAGUGGGCGGAAGCCUGAU
rnacentral:rRNA from 1 species